GGCAAUUGUAUGGUAACUGUUGAGUCUCAGCCUGAACCACUGAUGGAGCACCUGGGGAAAGGACCCGGUCAGCCCUGGGAGCACAGUGAAGGCAAUUCAGCUGUGUGACUGGAAGGGAUGGAACCUGGCUGCACCUCUCUUAGACCCCAUUUAAGGGCUGACUGUGGCUGGGGAGGGAUCUCUGGUUGGAGAUCUCUCCUUUGUGAAGCUUUCCCCUGCAAACUUGGAUUCUUCUGAUAUGGAUGCUGCUCCAAGAGAGAUGGCAGUGCAAAUGUAUGUUGUGAACUUGUUCCAAGUCGUACAGAUGUGAACAUUUCUCCAUGAAACCAGAGCUGGAUGCUGAAAUGUCCUGGGCAGACUGUGCAGUAACAUAACCUGUAACAUACAUACUAGGCUGAACAAGUCCAGCUCCCUCAGCCUAUCUUCAUAGAAGCGGUGCUCCAGCCCUCUGAGCAUCCUUGUGGCCUUCCUCUGGACCCUCCCCAAAAGCUCCACAUCUUUCCUGUGUUCGGGGCCCCAGACUUGCAUGCAGUACGCCAGCCGAUGCCUCACAAGUGCAGAGUAGAGGGGAACAAUCACCUCCAUUGCCCUGCUGGCCAUCCCUAUUCUGAUGGAAGCCAGCAUAGCAUUGGCCUUCCGGGCUGCAAAUGUGCACUGCUAGCUCAUGUUCUGUUUUUCAUCAGCUAGGACCCCUAAGUCCUUCUCAUCAGGGCUACUCUCAAGGAGUUUUCUCAAAGUUUGUAUACAUAUCUGGGAUUAGCUCAACCCAAGUGCAAGUCCUUGCAUGUUCUUUGCUGAAUCUAAUUAGGUUCACAAGGACCCAAUUUGAUCAAGGUUCACAAGGACCUAUUUGAUCAAGGUCCCUCUGAAUGGCAUCCCUUCCUUCUGCUGUAUCAACCUCACCACUCAGCUUGGUGUCAUCAGCAAAGUAGCUGAGGGUGCACUCAAUCUGACCAUCUGUCACUGAUCAAGAUGUUCAAGAAUACUGGAUCCCAGAUGGACCCCUUGGGGACACCACUCAUUACAGGCCUCCACCUGGACAUUAGAGCCAUUGGCCACAACCUUCUGGCUGCAGCCUUCCAACCAGUUCCUUAUUCACCAACAGUCUAGCCUUCAAAUUCAUAUCUCUCCAAUUUAGAGAUAGAGGUGUGGUGGAGGUGUAGAACAAAUGGAGGCAAUGACAGAGCUUUUAUUUGAGAAAUAGGCACUACAGGAAAAGAUAUCAAAAAGGAAUUAACUCACCCCUCCUGGUAAUAGCUUGGAGAAAGGGACGAGCUGAGGAAUGUGACCCUCCCCCAUUUGUACCAUCGCGCCACCGGAGAGAAGGGCGGGGGCAAAGGGGGACCCGCGCAGACUCAGAUUGCACAGGAAGUAUUGCGGAGACAGAAGGGGUGGCUCCAGACCACUCUUCCCCCGCCAACCCCCCCCCUCCCCGCUCCAGGCACCCACACACUCACAUAGCCCACCCAUUGGUUCAGGCUGUGGCCUUGGAAUUCCACUACAGGGGGACCAUGUCAAAGGCCUCACACAAGUCCAGGCAGAUGACAUCCAUUGCCUUCCCUUUGUCUGUCAAUGCUGUCACUAUCAGUUUUGUACCUAUGCCAUCUGAAACCUGGAGCAAGCAUGCCAGCUUGGUGGAACAGCUAUGGUCAACUAAGACCUUGUCUUUCCCUCUUCUCUUGGGUCUUUUGCUGAGAGGAAUUGUCUGUGCCUUGAGUUCUUG
ensembl:lncRNA